UACGUAGGGUGCAAGCGUUGUCCGGAAUUAUUGGGCGUAAAGAGCUCGUAGGCGGUCUGUCGCGUCUGCUGUGAAAACUCGGGGCUUAACCCCGGGCCUGCAGUGGGUACGGGCAGACUAGAGUGCGGUAGGGGAGACUGGAAUUCCUGGUGUAGCGGUGAAAUGCGCAGAUAUCAGGAGGAACACCGGUGGCGAACGCGGGUCUCUGGGCCGUAACUGACGCUGAGGAGCGAAAGCAUGGGGAGCGAACAGG
rnacentral:rRNA from 1 species